UGUGAGUCCUUUAGCGCUGCAGUAAAUAUUUCUGAUGAGAUAUCAGUACGUAAGGUAGGGGACGGGAGAAGGUGGUGGAGUUGAGUAUGUAGGAGGAGCAACACAGGAGCAGAGUGUUUGAUGUGACAGCUGGAGAUUGUAAGAAUGAGGGGUGACACAGUGCUCCAGCUUCCUCAGCCCUGGUCGGUCACCCAGUCAGCCUGUCAGUCAGUCACUCUCUGAGAUUCCAACUCUGUUUACUCUUGUGUUAUUAACAUGUGUGAGUCUCUUUGUAUGUGUGUGUGUGUGUCCGUGUUUAUCCUCAGGCAAUAGAUCUGGAAGAAGUGACAGUGUGGCGUGGCCCUCUGUCAGUCGCCCAGUAAAGUGGCAUGCGUGUCAGCUCUCCUGACAGACGCUCUCAUCCUGCUGGCCAACGGUGGCGGCUGCAAAUGUGGGACAUGUCUUGUGACAGAGCGACACAGCCUACACGACAACUCGGCAUGCAGACAGGACAUGAGCAGUCAAGUUUGAUGUGAGGGGGGUCACUGCUGAGGGCCCGGGCUCUCAGAGGACAGAACUCCACCAGGUGCUGCUGAAAACAAUGGCUGGCCCAUGCAGGGAUCAAUGCCAGGCCACUGAUGGGCUCUCAUUCCUUCACCAGCGGACGUGAUAAAUGACAUGGCCCAUAUGUUUCAGUAGCCUAGACUCCAGCCAUCAGCCUCCUUUGUCUCCACAUCUAAAGGGAGUUACGCAGUGAAAAAUCAGUAAAUCCUGAUGUCUAUACAGGUAGCAGCGCUCUGGCCCCUGCCGGCCGUGUCCCAGGUGUCUUGUCAGCUGUCAGAGACGUCCGACAGCAGACAGGGAUGGCAUGACCAGCGGGCCGGGCCGUGUUGGACGGGUCAGCCGUCAGCGUUGUGGACAGACAGGCAUGUGGCAGUGAUCUCCCUGUGACAGGCUGUCAGAGCCGCCGGAGAGCCACCAACCAGCACUCGCCCCCUGUCAUCCCACCUGACUACAGACAGAAGGAAAGCUCUGAAUUCUCAACUUGGCACCCGGACUCCACCGCUUCCUCCCCCCCCGCUGCUGUACAGUACAGCCACUGUGGCUUCUAAAUUCAGUGGGUUUUUUGAGGCAGAUCAGCGAAAUGCACCGGUGUGGUCGAGCCCUCGGAAAGAUGGCGUGUACGGACGUUGCUAUCUUGAAGAUGUCUGGAAACAUGUCUGUGACAAAGAGGGCUGAAACGCCGGUCCAUUCAAGCUGGGAACAUGUGCCAUAGUUUCCUCAGGAUGCUUCCUGUCGAGCCAGGGCCACCUCGUAGAACACAGCCAGGCCGGCCUUGUCUCUGUCACCCCUGUCAUCUCACAUCACAUCCUGUUUGACUCCAAAGCGGUGCUCUUUGGGUAAAACCAUUAACGGAGCCGACCGACACAAACAGGACCACAUUUUGACACUCGGCCGCCACCCUGACGUAACCGAGCACGACACCUGACGUGGGGAAAAGGUCACACGACUCGUCAAAGAGACAGGGGUGCCUCAGAUGGAGGACGCGAGGACUCAAAAAUGGACGCCUCCCGACAGUGAUGAUGGACACAUGGCUGAAGCAUGGCCUUCUGGGAGCGGUGGGAGGAGUGGAUGUCCUGCCGGGAACUGUCCCUUCCGGUUCCUCCGGUCCGCUGACGAGUUGUGUCCUCGCUGAUUUUGCAUGAUGAGACUCACACUAAGGCAGCGGAGACAGACAGGAAAUGUGAAUGACAGGCAGCAAUCGU